AGCGCAUAGGGCGUCCGCCUCGGCAACGGUAGGUAGGUGGUUCGAAUCCUGCCGCCGGACACCCACCGGUUAAAAGGGCAAGGCGUCCCCCCGACCCGGCGCCCGGUUGUUAACGGGGUGCGUGAACGCCUGCGGAAGAAGUCCGGAGCCGAUUUCGCUAGCACAGUUUCGC
rnacentral:lncRNA from 1 species